rnacentral:rRNA from 1 species
AACGUACGCUGGCGGCACGCCUAACACAUGCAAGUCGAACGCAGUAGCAAUACUGAGUGGCGGACGGGUGAGUAACAUGUGGGAAUCUGCCUUGUGGUUCAGGACAACAUUGGGAAACCGAUGCUAAUACUGGAUAAGCCCUUACGGGGAAAGUUUUAAUGCCAUAAGAUGAGCCCGCAUUUGAUUAGUUAGUUGGUGAGGUAAUGGCUCACCAAGACAAUGAUCAAUAGCUGAUCUGAGAGGAUGAUCAGCCACACUGGGACUGAGACACGGCCCAGACUCCUACGGGAGGCAGCAGUGGGGAAUCUUGCACAAUGGAGGAAACUCUGAUGCAGCGAUGCCGCGUGAGUGAAGAAGGCCUUUGGGUUGUAAAGCUCUUUGUAGGGAAGAUAAUGACUGU